CUCCCCCCGACCCCCCGCCUCCGCGAACCUCACGGAGGCCUCUUGGGUCACUGUUUCUCUCCUCUCCUGCUCCAGCCCUGUGGGGAGGGCCUGUCAGCCUUCACCUAGGCCAUGUCCUGGUAUUGCCACAAAGCUCCUUGGAGGCCGUUUCUCACCAGAGCCGUUAGGAGGUCCCUCCAUCAGGCCUGGGGCUCAUACACGUUCUCUCCUGUGAUCCUCUAGCCACCCUCUCCCGCAUCCCGCCUUCUGACCGGCCAGGGGUUCUGCACCAUGCAUGCUCAAGCUGGAACUGCCACCGCUCUGACAGAGACCAGCUCUAAAUCAGACAGGGUCUCACUCUGUUGCCCAGGCUGGAGUACAGUGCCAUAAUCUUGGCUCACUGCAACUUCCGCCUUCCUGGUUCAAGUGAUUCUCCUGCCUCAGCCUCCCGAGCAGCUGAAAUUAUAGAUAGCCACCAUUAUGUUCCCAACGUCCGCAGUACUCAGUAUGGUAACAUGCUGUGGAGGCAUGGAGCCCAGGAGCAAUCAGCUCUACCCUCCAGCCCAGGUGCAUGUAUGGCUGGACCACCUGGAGGAAGCCGAGGAGACAUGAGCUGAAGGCAGAGGGUGAGUCCGAGGUGGGAUCUUGGGACCGGUGUGAGAAGUUGGACAAAAACGGGUGAAAUCUGAAU
rnacentral:lncRNA from 13 species